GAUGAACGCGUAGCGACAGGCUUAACACAUGCAAGUCGAGGGGCGAGCGAGGGCGUAGCAAUACGCCUGUCGGCGACCGGCGCACUGGUGAGUAACACGUAUGCGACCUGCCCCCCUACAGGGGGUAUAACCCCGUAGAAAUGCGGACUAAUCCCCCAUAGUCCUGGAGGCUGCAUGGCCUUCAGGGGAAAGGGUCAGCCGGUAGGGGUUGGGGCAUGCGGCGCAUUAGCUAGUUGGCGGGGCAACGGCCCACCAAGGCGACGAUCGGUAGCCGGACUGAGAGGUUGAUCGGCCACAUUGGGACUGAGACACGGCCCAG
rnacentral:rRNA from 1 species